UUCCGAAAUAAUAGAUAUAAG
rnacentral:piRNA from 1 species